AGGGUAAGAGAACAGCAGCUGAAGACCUCCUGGUUCUUUGAAAAAGAGAAAGGUUUCACCUUUAUUAGCCUGCUGUCUCAUCCCACCUACCAUUGUAAGAAUGCUGUCCCUACUGCCCUUGUCAACAUAAGAUCCUCACUGAAGAUCUUCAACAACAUAAUAUCCUCAUCAACAUAGUAUUACCACUGCCUCCAAAUCACCUGAUACUCCCUCUAUUUAUUUUGUGUACUUAAUAAAUAAUAGCUAUCUUUGUCUUUGCCCACUCUGAGGCACUGACCUCCCAGAUCCCCAUGUACUUUGAAAUCAUGCAAGUCUCCAUUGUCCUUCUUUCUUUAGACCUAGCUGUCCCCCUUUCUAGGCAGCCAGAGGAUUGAUUGCCCUCCAAUAAGCUAAAGUUUCUUCACACACCCAAAUUAUCACAUGAACCGAACUAUUUAGCCAUUACCUAUUUUUUUGAGCUCUUCAAACAUUUUGCAUUAUUACUGGGGAGGAAGGAAUUAGAGAAAACCCCAUGAUAAGAAAACAGAAUUCUUGAGUUGUGUGAGUUAUGCAGGAUUUCAAGUUCCAGUCUUGGGUUAUUUUUUUUUGAUGAAGCAUCAGCUGUGACAAUCUUAGAACCCAAAGUUAUGAAAUUAAAGAAAGGGGCUGUAAGUAGUUGUACACAUUGCUCAUUAAAGCUGAUCAUUGUUUUUAUUGCCUUCAAAGCUUUGGAGAGAGGAGGCUAACCCAGCUGAAAAUCUGUAAAUGGUAUUGUGCAUAACCUGAACAGACCAGUAGUAGACCUUCAUCCUGUCAGCAUCUACCAUCAACCUCAUUCAAAUGAGAUGGUGUUACCCUCCUAUGGGGAACCCUAGAGGAUGUCGUAUACCACACAAAACCCACUACACUACUGGUCCUUAGAGAAGAAAUUGAAGAUGCAUGUGCAGUAAUCUCAAGGACGAAGGUUACCCAAGCAGCAUUUGCCAUACUAAUAAAUGUCUGGAAGCCAAUGGCCACCACUUUGAGCACCUCUUGUAAUUGUAGAGGCCAAAGGUAAAUUGUAUUAAUUUUAUGAUGUCUCAAUAAAUUUCAUAUUAAAAUAUUUAUGCAAGUUUUCUUUUCCUGAAGUGUGUAUACAUUUCUGGCAGAGUAUAUACAUAUAUAUGUGUG
rnacentral:lncRNA from 1 species